AGAAAGGUAAGCUAAAUUAAGCUAUCAGGUUCAUACCCUGCUUAUAGAGGAUAGACCUCUCCUCUCUA
rnacentral:tRNA from 1 species